CCUAAGGCGAGGCCGAAAGGCGUAGUCGAUGGGAAACGGGUUAAUAUUCCCGUACUUGGUGUUACUGCGAAGGGGGGACGGAGAAGGCUAUGUUGGCCGGGCGACGGUUGUCCCGGUUUAAGCGUGUAGGUGUGUGUUCCAGGUAAAUCCGGUUCACUUUAACACUGAGGCGUGACGACGAGGCACUACGGUGCUGAAGCAACAAAUGCCCUGCUUCCAGGAAAAGCCUCUAAGCAUCAGGUAACAUCAAAUCGUACCCCAAACCGACACAGGUGGUCAGGUAGAGAAUACCAA
rnacentral:rRNA from 1 species